rnacentral:lncRNA from 1 species
UGGAAGGGCAGUGGAUGAAGAAUCCGAAGAAUGGCUUUCAAUUCUGGUGAGCCGCCAGGUCAGCUGUGCAGUAUUAGAAUGAUUCUUCUCAGGCCACUGAUUUGUGGAAGAGAGCAGGUCAGCAGUCCUGUAGAAUGUUCCAGAUAAGCUUUCACAUGCCCUUUGGAGAGUCACAUCCUAUUCUGAGAACCCCCAUUGUCUGAGCCAGCCCAUGGGGAACACAGGCUUCAGAUUCUAAGCCCGGUGGUCUGGGAAGUCCUGGGAAGAGAAGAACUGAGCCACGGUCCCAGGAAGAGAAAAACAGAUAGUGGCCAGGCUCCAUUUGUGCCCGCCCUGCUCUCCUCAUCUCCCAUGGAUCCAUGUUCCUGAUCCUCACAGCUCUAGUCGUGUUCUCCACUUUCUGCAGAUGGGAUUUAAACCCAGGUCUUCUGGGUCCAGCGUUCCUGCUCUUAAUCAUCCAGGCCUAAGGACACGGGUUGAAAGUCAUUCACUGCUGCCUCUGGAGGUUGAGUUGUUUUAAAGUGCUGCGAUCUACUAAGUCUUCAGAAAUUAGUUGAUCCAACCGUAAUCUUCUGAGCACAUGAGCUUUCUUUUCUUGAAGACUCAUUACACUUUCCUUCAGCUUGUUCUUGGCAGGGAGUAAACGAUCCCAAUUGCAGUUUAUCUGUGGUUCAUCUGGCUUCUUCUCACACCACCUCUGUUGACAUGGGAGGCCUG